AUCUAUAAAUAGAUCAUUUAUCAUUUGUAUAUCGAUGUUAUAAUUAUUCUUGUCCCUUAAAUUUCAAAAUGGGUGGUUGUAAGAUUAUCAUUGAAUAGACAAAGUUUCAAAAAAAAAAAUUUCAGACUUCGUGACUCACCUCAAGAUAUCCAAUUUGACAUCUAAUGAGUGGAAAUGAUUAUGACCUCCAUGUACAAAAGAUGAGGAUUAUAUGCUAGGAGACCAUUUAUCUUUAUUAUAAUGAGGUUAUAAUUGUCACUUGCCAUUAGACAUCAAAUUGGAUGACUUGGGAUGUGUCAUAAAGUUCAUGAUUUUUAAUUAUUUUUUAACUUUGAGUUUAGUCAAUGGCAUAUUUACAACCAUCAUAUUUGAAAUUUGAUGGACAAGCAUGAUUGUGACUUUCUUGUAUUAAAAGUAAAUGAUCUUGUUGUAUAU
rnacentral:pre_miRNA from 1 species